AUACGUAGGGUGCAAGCGUUAAUCGGAAUUACUGGGCGUAAAGCGUGCGCAGGCGGUUUUGUAAGACAGAGGUGAAACCCCCGGGCUCAACCUGGGAACUGCCUUUGUGACUGCAAGGCUAUGUGACGGCCGCGGGGGAUGGAAUUGCGCGUGUAGCGGUGAAAUGCGUAGAUAUGCGGAGGAACCACGAUGGCGAAGGCAAUCCCCUGGGCCUGUACUGACGCUCAUGCACGAAAGCGUGGGGAGCAAACAGGAUUAGAUACCCUGGUAGUCCACGCCCUAAACGAUGUCAACUGGUUGUUGGGUCUUCAUUGACUCAGUAACGAAGCUAACGCGUGAAGUUGACCGCCUGGGGAGUACGGCCGCAAGGUUGAAACUCAAAUGAAUUGACGGGG
rnacentral:rRNA from 1 species